rnacentral:rRNA from 1 species
AUUGAACGCUGGCGGCAGGCCUAACACAUGCAAGUCGAACGAGUGGCGGACGGGUGAGUAAUGUCUGGGAAACUGCCCGAUGUAGGGGGAUAACUACUGGAGACGGUAGCUAAUACCGCAUACCAUCGGAUGUGCCAAGAUGGGAUUGGCGAGGAGGUGGGGUAACGGCUCCCCUAGGCGACGAUCCCUAGCUGGGCGGAGAGGAUGACCAGCCACACUGGAACUGAGACACGUUCCAGACUCCUACGGGAGGCAGCAUUGGGGAAUAUUGCACAAUGGGCGCAAGCCUGAUGCAGCCAUGCCGCGUGUAUGAAGAAGGCCUUCGGGUUGUAAAGUACUUUCAGCGAGGAGGCGUUACUCGCAGAAGAAGCACCGGCUAACUCCGUGCCAGCAGCCGCGGUAAUUC